AUUGAACGCUGGCGGCAGGCCUAACACAUGCAAGUCGAGCGGCAGCGGGAAAGUAGCUUGCUACUUUUGCCGGCGAGCGGCGGACGGGUGAGUAAUGCCUGGGAAAUUGCCCAGUCGAGGGGGAUAACAGUUGGAAACGACUGCUAAUACCGCAUACGCCCUACGGGGGAAAGCAGGGGACCUUCUGGCCUUGCGCGAUUGGAUAUGCCCAGGUGGGAUUAGCUAGUUGGUGAGGUAAUGGCUCACCAAGGCGACGAUCCCUAGCUGGUCUGAGAGGAUGAUCAUCCACACUGGAACUUAGACACGGGCCAGACUCCGACGGGAGGCAGCAGUGGGGAAUAUUGCACAAUGGGGGAAACCCUGAUGCAGCCAUGCCGCGUGUGUGAAGAAGGCCUUCGGGUUGUAAAGCACUUUCAGCGAGGAGGAAAGGUCAGUAGCUAAUAUCUGCUGACUGUGACGUUACUCGCAGAAGAAGCACCGGCUAACUCCGUGCCAGCCGCCGCAGUAAAAC
rnacentral:rRNA from 1 species